rnacentral:rRNA from 1 species
UAAGGAAUAUUGCGCAAUGGAGGCAACUCUGACGCAGCCAUGCCGCGUGCAGGAAGACGGCCUUAUGGGUUGUAAACUGCUUUUAUAAAGGGAUAAACCCCCGAACGGGUUUCGGGGCUGAAGGUACUUUAUGAAUAAGCACCGGCUAACUCCGUGCCAGCAGCCGCGGUAAUACGGAGGGUGCAAGCGUUAUCCGGAUUCAUUGGGUUUAAAGGGUGCGCAGGCGGAUACUUAAGUCAGUGGUGAAAUCCCGGGGCUCAACCCCGGAACUGCCAUUGAUACUGAAUAUCUGGAAUACGGUUGAAGUGGGCGGAAUGUAGCAUGUAGCGGUGAAAUGCAUAGAGAUGCUACAGAACACCGAUUGCGAAGGCAGCUCACUAAGCCGAUAUUGACGCUCAGGCACGAAGCGUGGGGAGCGAACA